GACGAACGCUGGCGGCGUGCUUAACACAUGCAAGUCGAACGGAAAGGCCCUGCUCUUGUGGGGUGCUCGAGUGGCGAACGGGUGAGUAACACGUGAGUAACCUGUCCCUGACUUUGGGAUAACUUCAGGAAACUGGGGCUAAUACCGGAUAGGAGCUCCUGAUGCAUGGUGGGGGUUGGAAAGUUUCGGCGGUUGGGGAUGGAAUGGCGGCUUCUCAGCUUGUUGGUGGGGUAGUGGCUUACAAAGGCUUUGACGGGUAGCCGGCCUGGGAGGUUGACCGGCCACCUUGCUACUGCGGUACGACCCAGAGUCCAACGGGAGGCAGCAGUGGAAAAUAUUGCACAACGGGCGGAAGCCUGAGACAGCAACGCCGGGUGCGUGAUGACGGCUUUUGGGUUGUAAACCUCUUUCGCCUGUGACGAAGCGAUAGUGACGGUAAUGAAUAAAGAAGCACCGGCUAACUACGUG
rnacentral:rRNA from 1 species